GAAAAACCCCAGAAUGAUUUCAGCAUCCCAAGCUGAAACCGGGCCAUGCUUUCCGUCCUUCCAGAAUAUUCUGACAUCACUGUUGUCUCUAUUAUCACAGACUCACUGAGAAAGUAUGAGAAAUGAUUUACCUAAAAGAAAAACAGGAGCAAGUCCUUUUGUGUCUCCUGGCCCACGUGGUCAGAACUGGGGUAAUAGUGAAGCACCUGGCGGAGGUUUCGAUGAUGCUGAAGUUCUCAGUGUUGCAGUAUGUCAAUAGUUUGAUGGAAAAAUAAAUCUGUGAAGUUUAGAGGUUGGGGAUUGGCCCCAAUAGUUUUCUUCGUAGCCAUGCUCCAGUCC
rnacentral:lncRNA from 1 species